rnacentral:rRNA from 1 species
GACGAACGCUGGCGGCGUGCCUAAUACAUGCAAGUUGAGCGAUGAAGAUUGGUGCUUGCACCAAUUUGAAGAGCAGCGAACGGGUGAGUAACGCGUGGGGAAUCUGCCUUUGAGCGGGGGACAACAUUUGGGAACGAAUGCUAAUACCGCAUAACAACUUUAAACAUAAGUUUUAAGUUUGAAAGAUGCAAUUGCAUCACUCAAAGAUGAUCCCGCGUUGUAUUAGCUAGUUGGUGAGGUAAAGGCUCACCAAGGCGGUGAUACAUAGCCGACCUGAGAGGGUGAUCGGCCACAUUGGGACUGAGACACGGCCCAAACUCCUACGGGAGGCAGCAGUAGGGAAUCUUCGGCAAUGGACGAAAGUCUGACCGAGCAACGCCGCGUGAGUGAAGAAGGUUUUCGGAUCGUAAAACUCUGUUGGUAGAGAAGAACGUUGGUGAGAGUGGAAAGCUCAUCAAGUGACGGUAACUACCCAGAAAGGGACGGCUAACUACGUG